rnacentral:rRNA from 1 species
UGGUGGAGCGAUUUGUCUGGUCAAUUCCGAUAACGAACGAGACUCUAGCCUACUAAAUAGUUCGGGGACCCCCACAAAGGGGCCCCGCUUCAACUUCUUAGAGGGACAGGUGGCGCUUAGCCACACGAGAUUGAGCAAUAAC